rnacentral:rRNA from 1 species
UACGUAGGGUGCAAGCGUUGUCCGGAAUUAUUGGGCGUAAAGAGCUUGUAGGCGGUUUGUCGCGUCUGCUGUGAAAUUUCGGGGCUCAACCCCGAACUUGCAGUGGGUACGGGCAGACUAGAGUGUGGUAGGGGAGACUGGAAUUCCUGGUGUAGCGGUGAAAUGCGCAGAUAUCAGGAAGAACACCCGUGGCGAAAGCGGCUCUCUGGAACGGUACUGACGCUGAGACGCGAAAGCGUGGGGAGCGAACAGG